UCUUUUGGCCAUCUGAAUUUCUAUUUUGCAGAACUGCGUGGGUCGCGGGCGGCGGGCGGGGUACGAGGGGGCCGUGGGCCGGUCCCCCGCGGGCUGCUGGCGGCGGCCAGCGUGGGAGCGGAGCGUCCGGGGCUGCCCCGCGCUACGCUCGUCCGGCGGCCGGCCUGUGCCUGCAGUCCGGGUCGGAAAGGAACUGGAGAGGCGGCUUUCAAGCCCACUCAAUGCCAUCCUACCCCGCGGCUCCGCAGGGGUCGGAGUGGAGGGCGGACCGGUCACCGCCCUUUGGCAACCCACGCCGGCUCGUGUUAGUCCUCAGGAAUCAGCGCGCGGGCUGCUGACUGCUUUCCAGGGGCUGAUGGAAGUUCGCUCCAUUCCGUCUGUGAGAAACACUAGGUGAAUUCAGAAAACUGCACCCUUCUGAUCUGAGUGGCCUAGGAAUACCCUAAACAUGCACACACCUCAGACACCUGCCCUCCACUGCUUCAUCACUUAAAGCUGCAGCCCUUCCAGCACCCGCUUCCACCAGCCACCUUCAGGUCUUUCUCAAGAAGGUGAAAUUAGGUCUGGAAGGGCUAACAAUGAAAACUCCGGAGGAGGAUCUGCAGCUUCAGUCACGGUGUCAUUUGGUGCUUCUUUUUGGAACCAACUGCCAUCCUUGGCGGAAGCAAAAGCAGCCCACGUAGACGGAAAGCCAGGCACUCCAGCCGGCAGCCCGCGCCAGCCGCCCGCCACCAAGCGGCCGCCUUUGGCCCAGCAGCUGGCCCACAGCUCUGACGAAGAUGGGUACAUGUUCCGCGUACCGCUAAUCAUGUGACUCUUUUAGAAGAGAAGAGUGUGUUUUUUGGAGAUUGUAUCCUAGUGAAGAAACAGCUGUAUUUGAAGACCUGUUAAUGUUAUAUGAACUCCCUAAAAUUAAGUUAUGGAAAAUUAAAACUCACUAAGAUGUACAGGCCUAGUAAUCCUUAAUGCUGAAGUUAAAAUUAUACAAUAUAUCUUUUACUAGAAAUACCUGAGAACAAGUCCACACAUUAUUUUGUGAGGACUUUGAAAAAUCAUUUAUAAUAACAGAUGUAAAAGAUUUUAAUCUUUUAAGACCUCUCACAUCAUUUACAUAAAAUAUUUUAUCAUAAUCUUUUGAUUUAUUUUGGGGCUGAGGACUAGAGAAAGAAGAAAAUUAAGCAACAUGGAUCCUUACAAGAAAUUGAUUUAAAAUUUUUUAUUUUUAUUUUUUUGGAGUGUGGUGUGUUUUCUUAAUUUGGAUCAUUUAUACAAAGUAUAGAGUGUAGAACAUUGAAAAAAUCUUAGAUAUAUUUAAAAUUAGUCAUUCUGUUAUAAGAAUUAUGUAAAUUACAUAAUAUAAUAUGGACUAUUUUCUAAUCUUAAUUUUAUAACAUUUUACCAAAAACUCAAAAUCUAAGUUUACCAACUUAUUAAUAGACUAAGUAAAAUGGUUAUUUUAAAAGCAUUUAUUUUAAAUGAGUAAAAAGAAUGAGAAGGCAAUCUUAAAGCAAUUUGGCUAUUUCUCUUCUGAAAUCUUUCUAUCAGCAUUUAGAAUCUCUCACAACACAGAACCAGAGAAUACUAAUACAAAAAGGCCCUUAGAGAUCAUCUCUUCCAUUUUUCAAGUAAGAAAACUGAUGCCCCAGAAACUGCUCAAAGUCUUUCAGUAUUUGAGAAGGGAAAAGAAUUUUUGGUACCCUUUUCAUUAUGUUGGCUUACCUGUAGCAUUCAAUUACAUAUCAUUCUGUAUUUUUUGAGGUAUCAUUCAAUGUUUAAUUUCACCUACUCAUUUGUAAGCUCCCUUAGGUAGCUUUUAUAUUUUGUGUAGUCUUAAAAGAGCUAUUACAUAAGCUGUUUAACAGUGAAGAGUUCUGGUAGUACACACUGAUUGGUUGGUUGAUUUGAGUGUGUGUUUUUAACUCAGAAUGCCUAGUGCAAUGCUCUGGUUCCCAUUAGAUGUCCUUUUCAUGCUUAAAAAUUAGUAAUACUUAUAUCACAUAAAUGACUUAUUUAUUUUGGGUUAACUAGAAAACUGGAUUUAGUAUACUCAUGUUGAAGCUUGAAGUAGAAUCUAUCCUCAGUUAAAAUGUCAGUUAAAAUACAACGGUAAAGAACAGUAAGGUGCAUGAAUAGCAUCUGAUCUUAGCUUGCAAGCAAGCCAGUUAAUCUGGAAAAUGGGAGGAGGUAUCAGGAAAAUGGCAAAUUAUGGAAAGUCUUUUUGAUUAUUAGAUAAUUACUUUCACAGAUUUUAAUUGUAACAGUUACAACUCUUUCUUUCCAUCAGCGGCUACACUAUCAGAAUUUUGUUGCCAGAACAGAAAGAAAUUCAAAACGUGUGUGUGUGUGUGUGUGUGUGUGCACGCGCGCGCAUGUUUUAGGACUAGCAUGAGUCCAGGAUGCUAAAAAACAAUUUUUAAGGUGGUUAUUGUACAAAAAUAGUUACUUAAUGUCACUAAAUAGGCUCAGAUAUAUAGAAAUAUUAUGUGGCCAAUCAACAUUGAGAAACUGAUUUGGAUUAAUUAUUAAGAUGGAACACUUCUGUUACAAUCAAAAUAGUGAAAGAAAAGAUAAAGACAUGUAAAGGUAUGACCAGGUGUCAUACAAGUGAGAACCCAGAAGGGACAACUCCCUGUGGGUUUGAAUGAGGGUUUGAAUCCUCAGUAUAGAGCAUGUAGGAGCUGAGGUGAGUUGGGCCUUAUGAGAUGAGUCAGCAACAUUAUAGCAGAUAGGAAGAAGGGAUGUGGGAU